CACCCUCCCUCACUCACACAUCGUAUCUGUAUGCAUAUCCAGCCAACAGCUCAGUCAGAUAAUCUCUCUCCUAAUAGAUUAUCUGAAGCGUGUUGUUUCCAGGAACGGUUUCUCAACAACCGGUUCUAGAUCUCGAAGUGAAUUCCUCUUUCUCUUCUCUUUCUCCGCAAAUCAAAAGAUUCGUAGAAAAUCUCAACAUUUUGCGCUCAAAGAUUGCGCCUAUUGAAACCCUGGCGCCGAGUGGCAGGUCGGUCCAGCGGACUGGGGACCCCGUGCGUAACGAUGAUGAUGAACCGCGUUCUUGCCCUCUGGUCUCCGGAGGACGGCGCUGACGACCCCUCCGCGUUUAUCUGAAGCGCCCGUAACAGAGAACAACAGACAGCGGAGCAGUGGAUGGACUACAUCCAUCCCAGCACAGCAAGGGGACGAUCUGGAGCAGCACUUCUACACUUCUACACACCAAAAAUAACAAGUUCAGUACAAACACCAUUUUAUAUGUAUAGCAGCAUCUGUUCUUGCCCUGGUUUCCAAAGAAUCUGUGUCUGCCCAUGCUAUACUUAUGCAUUUUAUUUGAAGAGCACUUUUCAUUCGAAAAUCUCAAAGUGCUACAGAGUUUAAAAGAAAAAAAAGUGUUGGUAAAACGUAUAAUACAGUACAGUAAAAGAGAAAUUAGCAAAAGGCUUUUUUAAAAAGAUAAGUCUUAAGGUUUAGUUUAAAAAUAGCUGUAGUCUGUGGGGCCUUCAGGUGGUCAGGGAGGGCGUUCCAUAGUCUGGGGGGCCUUCAGGUGGUCAGGGAGGGUGUAGUUCAUCUUACUAUAGAUAUCUUAUAGGUGUGCAUGUUCAUAUGUCUGUGGUAUUUCAUCUAGUCGUACUAUAGGUAUAGUGUAUGUGUGUCUAACUAUAGAGGUAGUAUAUGUGUGUGUGCUCAUACUAUGUCUGAUUCUAACUAUAGAUGAAGUCUACAUCUCUAUGUUGGAGCCCAUCCUAUAUGUCUAUAGUAGUAGUUCUUACUAUAGAUAAAGUCUCCAUCUCUGUGUUUGAGCCCAUCCUAUACGUCUAUAGUAGUAGUUCUUACUAUAGAUAUGCUGUAUGUUUGUGUGCUCGUCCUCAGCCUAUAUUUCUAUAGUAGUAGGUCAUGUAUUUCUUACUAUAGAUAUAGUAUAUGUGUAUUUGCUCAUCUUAUAUGUCUACAGGACACGUCCACCCAGUCUUGAGGGGCUGAUCUGCGUCAGAGACACAGGUAGUAGAAUGAAUAAACCUCAUUAGCAUCUCAUUACCGGGCGGGGCCCCAGCGGCAAUCCCACUAAGAGCCAACAGGCCCGUCAAUAAAUCAGAGUGGGAAUGUGGAACCC
ensembl:lncRNA